UGUUGUACUCUUUCAGGGGUCCAUAGAAAGCAAAAGGGGAAAGAAAUGGGAUCCAUUCUUUACAGCAACAAGCAGAAGAUGGGAUACUUGGAAUUUUAAAAAUUUAAUAUCUGCCUUUCUGAGUUUUGAUCUUGCUUUGGGAGGUUCACUGCAGAGUUUGCCUUGAGCUUCAGAAGACUUUGAACUUGAGUUUUUAGCCCAUAUUGGAGCAACUUGGAGAUGGAGUGAAUGAAUUUUACAUUGUGAGAAGAGCAUCAGUUUUGCAGGCCACGGGAGGAAUGCUGUAGUUUGGAUACUAUCUGUCUCCACAAAGGUUUGCAACUGCAGAAUUAUCUGGGAUCUUAUUAGAAAUGCAGACUACCAAGUAAACCUCAGACCUACAGAAUCAUAAUGUGCAUUUUUACAACAUCCUCAGUCAAUUCGGAUGUCCAUGAAAAUCUGAUAUGCUGCUGUACAUCACUUUGACUUGCCUUCAGUUUUCCCUUUGCCAGUGUGAUGCACUUGGAGGUUGCUCUUUGUUCCAGAAGAGAAGCUGCCUUCAUUCCAUGUCAUAUGCCCACACUGUCUUUAAAGAUAGCAAAGGAGCUCACAGGAGAGUUUGCCUUAAAUCUUGGAGGAGAAUUUACACUUGGACUUUGCAAAUGAAAAAUGCUAAAACUCUUAAGAUUUUGGCAACUUCUAGAGAUGGACUAAAUGUAUUUUGGAUAGAGAGAUGCUCAUAAAUCUUUUGGAGGGCUAGGGUAGAAUAUUAUGGUGUAUAUCUAGAUGUUUUUCCAAAGCCUUAUGUGUU
rnacentral:lncRNA from 1 species